rnacentral:rRNA from 1 species
GGGGAAUAUUGGACAAUGGGCGCAAGCCUGAUCCAGCCAUGCCGCGUGGGUGAAGAAGGCCGUGGGGUAGUAAAGCCCUGUUGGGGGGGAAAAAAAGCAGGCGGCCAAUAGCCGGUUGUUCUGAUGGUAAACGAAGAAUAAGCACCGGCUAACGUCGUGCCAGCAGCCGCGGUAAUACGAAGGGUGCAAGCGUUACUCGGAAUUACUGGGCGUAAAGCGUGCGUAGGUGGUGGUUUAAGUCCGUUGUGAAAGCCCUGGGCUCAACCUGGGAACUGCAGUGGAUACUGGAUCACUAGAGUGUGGCAGAGGGUAGUGGAAUUCCCGGUGUAGCAGUGAAAUGCGUAGAGAUCGGGAGGAACAUCAGUGGCGAAGGCGACUGCCUGGGCCAACACUGACACUGAGGCACGAAAGCGUGGGGAGCAAACA